GCUGAGAAGUUCCGGCAGAAGGCCUCCCUGCACGAAGCCUGGACCCGGGGAAAGGAGGAGAUGCUGAGCCAGCGCGACUACGAUUCGGCUUUGCUACAGGAGGUGCGGGCGUUGCUGCGGCGCCACGAGGCCUUUGAGAGCGACCUGGCGGCGCACCAGGACCGCGUGGAGCACAUUGCCGCGCUGGCCCAGGAGCUCAAGUAGGCGGGGCCUCGCGGGGCCCGCCCCCAACACCCCCGGCCCCGCCCCCGGUGGCGAGCCCCACCCUGAUCCCCAUUGCCCUUCUCAAGACACUAGGCUCUCCUGGGUUCUGUAACCCCGCCGUGGUACCCAGGUCCCAUUCGCUCCGCCCCUCCUGGAACCCCACCCCCACCUCCGGACCCCGCUCUGCUGCUCACACUCUUCCCACUGGCGCUUGACCUGUCUCACUCCGUGACCUGCCCUCUAACCUGCCCGCUCUCUUCACCCGGCUUACUGCUCCAAACCCUCCCCAUCAGCCUUGGCCUGGCCACCCCCUCCCAUGAACCCGCCCCUUCUUGCGCAACCCCGCCCCUCCACCCAAGCACCUCCAUGGACUGCAGCUAAGGACCCGCGGGCGCCCACCUGCCCAGAGGGAUGCGCUGGUACCGCCCCUCUUGGAAAGCACCCAGCUUUACCCACCACCUGCCCUGG
rnacentral:lncRNA from 1 species